rnacentral:misc_RNA from 1 species
UGGAAGUAAAAGUCGUAACAAGGUUUCCGUAGGUGAACCUGCGGAAGGAUCAUUAACGCGCAGGCCGGAGGCUGGCCCCCCAGGAUAGGGCCAAACGUCCGUCAGGGGUGAGCAGAUGUGCGCCGGCCGUACCGCCCCAUUCUUGUCUACCUUACUCGGUUGCCUCGGCGGGCCGCGCUCUCCCAGGAGAGCCGUUCGGCGAGCCUCUCUUUAUAGCGGCUCAACGCUGGACCGCGCCCGCCGGAGGACAGACGCAAAAAAAAAUUCUUUCAGAAGAGCUGUCAGUCUGAGCGUUAGCAAGCAAAAAUCAGUUAAAACUUUCAACAACGGAUCUCUUGGUUCCGGCAUCGAUGAAGAACGCAGCGAAAUGCGAUAAGUAAUGUGAAUUGCAGAAUUCCGUGAAUCAUCGAAUCUUUGAACGCACAUUGCGCCCCCUGGCAUUCCGGGGGGCAUGCCUGUUCGAGCGUCAUUUCAGCCCCUCAAGCCCGGCUUGUGUGAUGGACGACCGUCCGGCGCCCCCGUCUCUGGGGGUGCGGGACGCGCCCGAAAAGCAGUGGCCAGGCCGCGAUUCCGGCUUUCUAGGCGAAUGGGCAACAAACCAGCGCCUCCAGGACCGGCCGCCCUGGCCUCAAAAUCUGUUUUAUACUUAUCAGGUUGACCUCGGAUCAGGUAGGGAUACCCGCUGAACUUAAGCAUAUCAAUAAGCGGAGGAA